rnacentral:rRNA from 1 species
UUGGGAAUCUUGGACAAUGGGGGAAACCCUGAUCCAGCCAUGCCGCGUGAGUGAUGAAGGCCUUCGGGUUGUAAAACUCUUUCGACGGGGACGAUAAUGACGGUACCCGUAGAAGAAGCUCCGGCUAACUUCGUGCCAGCAGCCGCGGUAAUACGAAGGGGGCUAGCGUUGUUCGGAAUUACUGGGCGUAAAGCGCGCGCAGGCGGUCUUCCAAGUCAGUGGUGAAAGCCCGGAGCUCAACUCCGGAACUGCCAUUGAAACUGUUGGACUUGAGGAUGAGAGAGGUGAGUGGAAUUCCCAGUGUAGAGGUGAAAUUCGUAGAUAUUGGGAAGAACACCGGUGGCGAAGGCGGCUCACUGGCUCAUUACUGACGCUCAGGCGCGAUAGCGUGGGGAUCAAACAGGAUUAGAUACCCUGGUAGUCCACGCCGUAAACGAUGAAUGCUAGCCGUUGGGCAGCUUGCUGUUCAGUGGCGCAGCUAACGCAUUAAGCAUUCCGCCUGGGGAGUAC